GAUGAACGCUGGCGGCGUGCCUAAUACAUGCAAGUCGAGCGAACAGAUAAGGAGCUUGCUCCUUUGACGUUAGCGGCGGACGGGUGAGUAACACGUGGAUAACCUACCUAUAAGACUGGGAUAACUUCGGGAAACCGGAGCUAAUACCGGAUAACAUAUUGAACCGCAUGGUUCAAUAGUGAAAGGCGGCUUUGCUGUCACUUAUAGAUGGAUCCGCGCCGUAUUAGCUAGUUGGUAAGGUAACGGCUUACCAAGGCAACGAUACGUAGCCGACCUGAGAGGGUGAUCGGCCACACUGGAACUGAGACACGGUCCAGACUCCUACGGGAGGCAGCAGUAGGGAAUAUUCCGCAAUGGGCGAAAGCCUGAUGGAGCCACGCCGCGUGAGUGAUGAAGGUCUUCGGAUCGUAAAACUCUGUUAUCAGGGAAGAACAAAUGUGUAAGUAACUGUGCACAUCUUGACGGUACCUGAUCAGAAAGCCACGGCUAACUACGUG
rnacentral:rRNA from 1 species